rnacentral:rRNA from 1 species
UACGGAGGGUGCAAGCGUUGUUCGGAAUCACUGGGCGUAAAGCGCGUGUAGUCGGUCUGUUAAGUCAGGUGUGAAAUCCCCCAGCUUAACUGGGGAAUUGCGCCUGAAACUGGCAGGCUGGAGUGUCGGAGAGGGAAGGGGAACUCCCGGUGUAGAGGUGAAAUUCGUAGAUAUCGGGAAGAACACCCGUGGCGAAGGCGGUUCUCUGGGACGGUACUGACGCUGAGACGCGAAAGCGUGGGGAGCGAACAGG